UCACCUCCAGGGAAGGGGAAGUGGAGGUGAGAGACCUGUGGACAUGUUUGCCUGAGGCAAAGGUCUUCUGUCUACAGCUGGACUAUUAACUCUGACCAUGGGCAGUGGCGCCUGAGGAUAUCAUCGGCUGGACUGAGGGGGAAACUACAAACUUAUUACCAUAUGACAAGAUUCGAGAAAAGAAAAAAUGUCACAGAAACAGCCAAGGAAGACAGGAUCUGAGCCGCCAGGGCUUGCAUAUCCCAGGGGAGGUUCCUAAGGGGCCUAGAAGACCUUCACCCAGCUGAAAACCCACACCCUACCGACCUGGGCCUUCAAAGGAUUCAUUGCACUUUCCUGACCCAUCGUGUUUCUUCCACUGUAGCACAGACGGGGACAUCCAAGGGGUAUGGGGCACAGUGUCACCACAGGUGGGACUGUGCGCAGAGUCCACUGGUCCCUUAGCUUGGGCCACACCAGUUAGGUUCAACAGGACUGAAGUCACCCAUGUGUCAAGCCAAGAGGGGAAGAGUCAAGCAAGGUGGGACAAGGUCCCGGUGCAUAGGGCCAGUCCCUGUUCUAGGCAGUUCUGAAGCCUCUUCUCUAAGCUGUGUGCUGGGUUCCUCUCUCCUUCCCUCACACUGCAUGUCCUGGUCUGGCCACACUUCUUCCUCAGCCCACCAGCCACUCCUUCCAGGAGCCUGUGUUCUCAAAGGAGCCCUCAGAGAGUGGCCCCACUACAACCCAACAGCAUACAAGGUGCCCACUGCAGUAACUGACCAGCUAGCGUUCAGCUUCUUAAU